UUUUCCUUUUGAAAACUUGCCUUUCACUGGCCCCUAAUCUAAAAUUUACAUGCAAGUUGUUGGAUUAUAUUUACUUUAAGAAAACUUUUAAUUAGUCAACAUUUAGCAAGAAUUUAGCUUUUACUUUUUCAUCCAUCAAACCAACUUUUUUUCAAUGAAAUUGUAACAUUUACUUUGUAUUAAAAAAUACCUUAUAUUUCUUUAGUUAAUAUUAACUCUAUAAAAUAUUACAAUUGUUCCAAUUAUUAAUAAUUAUUAACAAUCAUCUUAAAUAUUUGUUUUCUAAUUAAAGCCUUCUAGCUUUUUUUUUGAACAACAGAGAUAUUAUUAACGAGCUAGCAAGGCGUUAGAAACCAUUACAAAGUAUAAACAAUAUUAGGAGAAAUGCACCAAUCAAACCAACUUAACAAAUUAAAACUAUCUUCACGCUUUAACCAACCAAAAGACAAAAUAUGCACAUAAUCCGCCGUUCUAGAGAACCGACUCUCUUCUUGAAAAUUUGCUUGAUGUCAUUGCUAUACUGAAAUCUGUUUGUUUUUUUGAUGUCAUUGCUUUUAGAAUAACGUCAAGUGUUCUGAUACGUAGAAUUUACAUUAGUAUUUCAAAAUAUACAUCUUUUUUUAAAGUAAAAACAUAUUCAUCACAAAUGAUUAUUUAUAAUGAAAUUUUGUAAACGUUAUAAUGUCCCCUCAGAAAUGACAUAACAAUAUAUCAUCAAAAUCAGAAUUAGCAUGGUCAAAUUCAUGCAUCAUUGGGAACAUCAAAUAGAUAAACCAAAGAAAAGUUUGUGACUUUCUAUUUCAACAAAAUUAAACUUUUAAAAAACAGAGUUAAAAAUAGCUCAAAGCUCAGAUAAAACACUAAAAGUUGUAAUUCCCUGACCUUAAACAAAUUAAAGUCUCAUAGAGCUGGGAUUAGAUAAUGUCAUCAUCAUUGCACAAGCAAUAAACAACAAGAAUUAAGAAGAAAUCAAAACAAAAAGCUCAGAUAAACAUGAACUAAUUUUAAUCCAUAACCUUAAACAUAUUAAGGUCUCAGAGUGAGCUGGGAUGCAAGUUCGAUCAUCAUCGCAAACAACAAUCAAUAAAUGAAACUUAUUUUCGAUCGUGUAAAGUAAUUAGUAGUAUUAAAGAUAAAGGAUCAGACUAGCUUUCUAGGCUGCAUUAUGCAUCAAAUCAAGCAAUUAAUCAAUUGCUCUCAGAGCCCAGUGCAAACUUCAUCAUCUCGAAACAAUUUCUUAUUUUUUCGAAAAAAAAAUCAUUAUAAAUUAGUUGAAAGUAUAAAGAACUUAUUUUGAAAGGAUCCUCAGCGUAAAUGCUUAUAGCUGUCAUCAAGAUGUUAAAAUCAGGUCUCAAAGAUAUCAUGCCAUCAUUGGAUCACCAAAAUAUGCUUCGAAAAUUCGGAAAAGAACAUCAAUUCGUAUAGACAAAUCGAAAAACACACAAAAGUAGAUAAAUUGAUGAAUUUAGCGGGAUUUUAUUAGCUGCGCAAUAUAUUUAUGCCUCUAGUCUUGAGGACGUAUAUCCAAAGAAAAAUCACAUCAACUAAUAAGAUUUGUGUAGGAUUUCUCACAAAGAGUGAAAGAGGAGAGAAAACUUUCAGAUAUCUGCUAUAGCAAAAAAGAAAAAACAAAAAAUCAACAAAAAGGGGAAAAUUUAGAGAUACCAGUGUAGAACUGUAGAUGCAGAUGAAUGACUUCGUAUCGUUGGAAUAUUGUGGAUCUCUGGAUGUGGUAUAAACCCUUACAGCUUCAGUUUAUAUAGUAGUUUCAUGAAUUUGGCGAUUAGGGUUUUGAACCCAUGAAGAAGGGAGUUUUUGAUAUUUUAUGGAUUUGGAGCACGUAAC
rnacentral:lncRNA from 1 species